GGAGGAAGUAGCGUGGAGCCGGUGCCGAGCCGGGGCGAAGCUGGAUCCCCUAGAUAGACUGUCUUCAAGCUCACUGAUAUUUUCCUCUGCUUGAUCCAUUGUGCUGUUGAGAGCCUCUAGUAAAUUUUUCAGACUGACAGACUUCAAGGAUGCAGCUGCUACUACCGGAGGUGUGUGGCACCUUACCUCAGCAAGGCCAUGAGACCGUGUGGCCAUGAUGUGGGCCCCUCAUGGCCUCAGCAGGAACACAGCACUAUAGUAUUGGCCUCCGCCAGAAAAACAGCUUCAAGCAGAGUGGUCCCUCAGGCACAGUACCUGCCACGCCACCUGAGAAACCCUCGGAGGGCAGAGUCUGGCCUCAGGCCCAUCAGCAAGUGAAGCCAAUCUGGAAGCUGGAAAAGAAGCAAGUGGAGACACUGUCAGCAGGGUUGGGCCCAGGCCUCUUGGGCGUCCCACCCCAGCCAGCAUAUUUCUUUUGCCCCAGCACUUUAUGUAGCUCUGGGACCACGGCUGUCAUUGCAGGCCACAGCAGUUCCUGUUACCUACACUCUCUCCCGGACUUGUUCAACAGCACCCUGCUAUACCGCCGCUCCAGCUAUAGGCAAAAACCGUACCAGCAACUGGAGUCUUUCUGCUUGCGUUCGAGCCCGUCAGAAAAAAGCCCUUUUUCUCUCCCUCAAAAGAGCCUCCCUGUCAGUCUCACUGCCAACAAGGCCACUUCUUCCAUGGUCUUCUCCAUGGCCCAGCCCAUGGCCUCCUCAUCCACAGAACCAUACCUCUGCUUGGCAGCGGCUGGGGAAAACCCUUCAGGGAAGAGCCUGGCCUCUGCCAUCUCAGGGAAGAUCC
rnacentral:lncRNA from 1 species